AUUGAACGCUGGCGGCAGGCUUAACACAUGCAAGUCGAGCGGUAGCACAGGGGAGCUUGCUCCCUGGGUGACGAGCGGCGGACGGGUGAGUAAUGUCUGGGAAACUGCCUGAUGGAGGGGGAUAACUACUGGAAACGGUAGCUAAUACCGCAUAACGUCGCAAGACCAAAGAGGGGGACCUUCGGGCCUCUUGCCACCAGAUGUGCCCAGAUGGGAUUAGCUAGUAGGUGGGGUAAUGGCUCACCUAGGCGACGAUCCCUAGCUGGUCUGAGAGGAUGACCAGCCACACUGGAACUGAGACACGGUCCAGACUCCUACGGGAGGCAGCAGUGGGGAAUAUUGCACAAUGGGCGCAAGCCUGAUGCAGCCAUGCCGCGUGUGUGAAGAAGGCCUUCGGGUUGUAAAGCACUUUCAGCGAGGAGGAAGGUGGUGAGCUUAAUACGUUCAUCAAUUGACGUUACUCGCAGAAGAAGCACCGGCUAACUCCGUG
rnacentral:rRNA from 1 species